AGGACGAACGCUGGCGGCGUGCCUAACACAUGCAAGUCGAACGGGGCCCGCAAGGGUUCAGUGGCGAACGGGUGCGUAACACGUGAAGAACUUGUCCAUCGGCGGGGGAUAGCCGGCCCAACGGCCGGGUAAUACCGCGUACGUCGGCGAGGGCGCAUGCCCAUGCCGGGAAAGCAGCAAUGCACCGAUGGAGAGCUUCGCGGCCUAUCAGCUAGUUGGCGGGGUAAUGGCCCACCAAGGCAACGACGGGUAGCUGGUCUGAGAGGAUGAUCAGCCACAUUGGGACUGAGACACGGCCCAGACUCCUACGGGAGGCAGCAGUGGGGAAUAUUGCGCAAUGGGCGAAAGCCUGACGCAGCGACGCCGCGUGUGGGAUGACGGCCUUCGGGUUGUAACCACUGUCGCGAGGGACGAACAAAUGACGGUACCUCGAAAGGAAGCACCGGCUAACUCUGCGCCAGCAGCCGCGGUAA
rnacentral:rRNA from 1 species